AUACUCCGGUUUCACUUCAGAUCAUAUAAAUCUUUCGCCUUUUACUAAAGAUUUCCAUGGAGGAGAAUGGAAAAACAAGUGUCUGUGACCAUUAAUGUUUUAAAGUUUGUUUGCAAAUU